AAAAAUUUUAUUGAAAAAGUAAAGGUUACAAAUUUGUUAGCAAUUGCAAGGAAGAAGGCGGCUGAAAUUUCAUAAGCUAUAAAUCUUUAGACAUUAAACAUUUUAAUACUUCAAUUUACUUUAUAAUCAUGUUGGGUUUAUCGAAGUUAGCUCAGCCUAUGGCCAAGCAAUCCCUUCAAGUAAUGUCCAAGAGAACAAAUAUUACUGUUAACGGUCCACCUCAAGUCAGAAUGCCAAAAUGGCAACAAUUGCUUAUUGGAGGUUCUGCAUCUGGAUCAAUCUUGAUCAUACCUAUAUGGGUUCUGUAUGACUUAAAAAGUCUUCCACGAGCAUAAUUACUUUACUUCAUGUUUUUGUUGCAUUAUUAUAAAAUUAGAUAUGUAUUAUGUAAACAUUUUUUUCUAAAGAAAUAAAAUGAAAUUGUAGUUAAUAUACUACCAACUGUAUAAUA